UACGUAGGGGGCUAGCGUUGUCCGGAAUCAUUGGGCGUAAAGAGCGUGUAGGCGGCCAGGUAGGUCGGUUGUGAAAACUGGAGGCUCAACCUUCAGAGGUCGACCGAAACCAUCUGGCUAGAGUCCGGGAGAGGAGAGUGGAAUUCCUGGUGUAGCGGUGAAAUGCGCAGAUAUCAGGAAGAACACCCGUGGCGAAAGCGGCUCUCUGGAACGGUACUGACGCUGAGACGCGGAAAGCGUGGGGAGCGAACAGG
rnacentral:rRNA from 1 species